GCCAAGGACCACUGCAAUUGGAAUGCUUUCUGAAAUCAAAGGAGCCCCAUCAAGGAUGCAUCUAACAUGCUCUCCACUCAAAAAAAGAAGUGAGAUCCCAAGGAGGAAAGAUUCCUCUUGUAACUGUAGCCAAGGCAGCCAGCCUCUCCAUACUGCUCCAUCUGUGCUACAAGUGAAUUGCCUAUCUUCUUAAUAAUGCAACUGGAAAUCUAUGUGAAGCAG